GCUAAUACCGGAUAACAACAGAUGAUGCCUAUCAACUGUUUAAAAGAUGGUUCUGCUAUCACUCUUGGAUGGACCUGCGGUGCAUUAGCUAGUUGGUAGGGUAACGGCCUACCAAGGCGAUGAUGCAUAGCCGAGUUGAGAGACUGAUCGGCCACAUUGGGACUGAGGCACGGCCCAAACUCCUACGGGAGGCAGCAGCU
rnacentral:rRNA from 1 species